rnacentral:rRNA from 1 species
UACGUAGGGUGCAAGCGUUAAUCGGAAUUACUGGGCGUAAAGGGUGCGCAGGUGGUUUUGCAAGACCGACGUGAAAGCCCCGGGCUCAACCUGGGAACUGCGUAGGUGACUGCAAGACUAGAGUGUGGCAGAGGGGGGUGGAAUUCCGCGUGUAGCAGUGAAAUGCGUAGAGAUGCGGAGGAACACCGAUGGCGAAGGCAGCCCCCUGGGCUAACACUGACACUCAUGCACGAAAGCGUGGGGAGCAAACAGG